rnacentral:sRNA from 1 species
UGUAUUCCUCACCCUACGACCGCAGGAAC